AGAGUUUGAUCAUGGCUCAGGACGAACGCUGGCGGUGCGCCUUAUGCAUGCAAGUCGAGCGAAGCUUUUCAGUAGUUUACUACAGAAAAUGACUGAGCGGCGAACGGGUGAGUAACGCGUGAGCAAUCUACCUUAGUUACAGGGAUAGCCCGAGGAAACUCGGAUUAAUACCUGAUAUUCUUUAUUUCUCGCAUGAGAAUAAAAGGAAAGGUCAGCCGAACUAAGAUGAGCUCGCGUUCUAUCAGCUAGUUGGUGAGGUAAAAGCUCACCAAGGCUACGACGGAUAGCUGGUCUGAGAGGACGAUCAGCCACACUGGGACUGAGACACGGCCCAGACUCCUACGGGAGGCUGCAGCAGGGAAUAUUGCGCAAUGAGCGAAAGCUUGACGCAGCGACACCGCGUGUGGGAUGACGGAUCUAGGUUUGUAAACCACUUUCAGGAGGGAAGAAAAUGACGGUACCUCCACAGGAAGCCCCGGCCAACUACGUGCCAGCAGCCGCGGUAAU
rnacentral:rRNA from 1 species